rnacentral:rRNA from 1 species
ACGGUACCCAAGGAGGAAGCCACGGCUAAACUACGUGCCAGCAGCCGCGGUAAUACGUAGGUGGCGAGCGUUAUCCGGAUUUACUGGGCGUAAAGGGAGCGUAGGCGGAUGAUUAAGUGGGAUGUGAAAUACCCGGGCUCAACUUGGGUGCUGCAUUCCAAACUGGUUAUCUAGAGUGCAGGAGAGGAGAGUGGAAUUCCUAGUGUAGCGGUGAAAUGCGUAGAGAUUAGGAAGAACACCAGUGGCGAAGGCGACUCUCUGGACUGUAACUGACGCUGAGGCUCGAAAGCGUGGGGAGCAAAACAGGAUUAGAUACCCUGGUAGUCCACGCCGUAAACGAUGAAUACUAGGUGUGGGGGUUUCAACACCUCCGUGCCGCCGCUAACGCAUUAAGUAUUCCGCCUGGGGAGUACGGUCGCAAGAUUAAAACUCAAAGGAAUUGACGGGGACCCGCACAAGUAGCGGAGCAUGUGGUUUAAUUCGAAGCAACGCGAAGAACCUUACCUACACUUGACAUCCCUUGCAUUACUCUUAAUCGAGGAAAUCCCUUCGGGGACAAGGUGACAGGUGGUGCAUGGUUGUCGUCAGCUCGUGUCGUGAGAUGUUGGGUUAAGUCCCGCAACGAGCGCAACCCUUGUCGUUAGUUACUACCAUUAAGUUGAGAACUCUAGCGAGACUGCCUGGGUUAACCAGGAGGAAGGUGGGAUGACGUCAAAUCAUCAUGCCCCUUAUGUGUAGGGCUACACACGUGCUACAAUGGCUGGUACAGAGAGAUGCAAUACCGUGAGGUGGAGCCAAACUUAAAAACCAGUCUCAGUUCGGAUUGUAGGCUGAAAACUCGCCUACAUGAAGCUGGAGUUACUAGUAAUCGCGAAUCAGAAUGUCGCGGUGAAUACGUUCCCGGGUCUUGUACACACCGCCCGUCACACCAUGAGAGUUGGGCCAAUACCCGAAGUCCGUGAGCUAACCGCAAGGAGGCAGCGGCCGAAGGUAGGGCAGCGAUUGGGGUGAAGUCGUAACAAGGUAGCCGUAGGAGAACCUGCGGCUGGAUCACCU